rnacentral:misc_RNA from 1 species
GAGAACUCAAAGUGAUUUACCCAUAUUGGUUGACUUUUGCUUGAGCCUUGUGGCGAACAAUCCCUUUUCCAAUACCCAACCUUCGAUCAUCGCCUGAGAAUUCACUGCCUGGUCGGUAGGCACAAGAUGCCCUGCAUUCAUCACCACAACAUGAGUCAAAUUCUCCCACUUCUGCACAUAUCCAGCGAGCUUGUCAUUCACUCUCCAAACAUUCCGCUCCGCCUCCAAAAACUUUCCAAUUCCCUCCCACUUCAUCUUCUUCAUCCAUGCCUCAGUUGACACCACUCCAUCUCUCAAAUCACACUGCCCCUGGUAUAACAACACCUUAGUAUUCUUAACCAAGAACUCCACCAUGUACUUCACACUUUUCAUCACGUCCUCGUGCAACACUUUGCCUACUACAUCACUGCAUAUAUCGUAAACUAUCG